rnacentral:RNase_P_RNA from 1 species
GAGUCGGACGGGCUGUCGCUGCGGAUCAUGCGAUCCGGAGAGGAAAGUCCGGGCUUCACAGGGCAGGAUGCUGGCUAACGGCCAGAGCGGGCGACCGCUGGAAAGCGCAACAGAAAGCAGACCGCCGUUCUCAGGAACGGUAAGGGUGAAACGGUGAGGUAAAAGCUCACCGGCUGACGUGGCGACACGUCAGGCCAGGCAAGCCCCAUCCGAAGCAAAACCAAAUAGGGAAACCGGCCGGCCCGGCCCAUGGUUUCCGGGUAGGUUGCCAUAUGAAAGAAAACAUUGCGGAGAAGACGGCUCCUCCGGGAACGGAACAAAACCCGGCUUACAGUCCGACUCC